GUGAAUCAUCAAAUUUUUGAACGCAAAUUGCACUCUCUUCGGAGAGUAGGUCUGUUUGAGUGUGAGCCUAAAAAAAAUCGACGUGGUCGGUGUUUCGCGGUGACAGUCGUCGGAAAUCGGGCCAUCAGAAACCUUUGGGGGUUUUAAGCGGCUUAAAAUUUUCUUUGCGAUCCCACGAACGUUUCUAAGAUUGUACUUUUU
rnacentral:misc_RNA from 1 species